rnacentral:pre_miRNA from 7 species
CUGCAAGAAAAGAUUUUAUCAGUCAAGCUUCUGGCUAUAUUUCAGGACUUAUCUGGUCCUGGGUAUAACCAAAGCCUGCUUGUUUGCUAUUAAAG